UGGGUCAGCGACUUAUAUUCUGUAGCAAGGUUAACCGAAUAGGGGAGCCGGAGGGAAACCGAGUCUUAAUUGGGCGUUAAGUUGCAGGGUAUAGACCCGAAACCCGGUGAUCUAGCCAUGGGCAGGUUGAAGGUUGGGUAACACUAACUGGAGGACCGAACCGACUAAUGUUGAAAAAUUAGCGGAUGACCUGUGGCUGGGGGUGAAAGGCCAAUCAAACCGGGAGAUAGCUGGUUCUCCCCGAAAGCUAUUUAGGUAGCGCCUCGUGAAUUCAUCUCCGGGGGUAGAGCACUGUUUCGGCUAGGGGGCCAUCCCGGCUUACCAACCCGAUGCAAACUGCGAAUACCGGAGAAUGUUAUCACGGGAGACACACGGCGGGUGCUAACGUCCGUCGUGAAGAGGGAAACAACCCAGACCGCCAGCUAAGGUCCCAAAGUCAUGGUUAAGUGGGAAACGAUGUGGGAAGGCCCAGACAGCCAGGAUGUUGGCUUAGAAGCAGCCAUCAUUUAAAGAAAGCGUAAUAGCUCACUGGUCGAGUCGGCCUGCGCGGAAGAUGUAACGGGGCUAAACCAUGCACCGAAGCUGCGGCAGCGA
rnacentral:rRNA from 1 species